GUGUAGCCGGAUGGGCUACUCGCCUUUCUUUUCUCUCUCUCGCUCGCUCGCUCUACUGCUCUCGCUCUCUCCUGCGCUCGCUCUUACUGCAAAACUAGGUCAAUUGGGAACCCACCUGCAUAUUGAUUGCAGGCUGGCACCAGGUAUAAAGCUAAGCCGGUGCUUCUUUGGAUUAUUCCUCCCAUGCAUUCAGCGCAAAGCAGCAGCAAAUGCUGACACUCUGCGACGGACUGAUCGGCAAGAGUAGAUCAUAUGACAGCCACAGCGCGGCAGGUUGUUUUAUUCCGGCGUUGCGGAGAGGUGCUUGUGUGAUUCCCCCACCAGUGAGAGUAUAACGCUUCCGGUCCUGGGGGCGUGAUCGCUGCCUUCACCUCCGUGGCAACUCACACAGCCUUAAGUGAAGAAUCAAGACACCUGCCUAGCCGUUGUUGUGAGGGCUCCUCCUCAGUGGAGCCUGCUGUCUUGUCUUGUCUUGUUUGGUUUUGAAUUGUUUUACCUUGUCUUAUUUGGUUUUAUUAAGUAGGCCUACCAUUUCCUGGUUCGCCUGGUUUUAUUUUAUUUUAUCUCUGGAUUGUUGCGUGUGCCCACGCUUUUGUGAUCGGGCUGAAGCAAUUCUUUGCCCGAGUGUCGUGCCGGGGAUUUUAAAUUGCCCCCGUUGCUGGUCUUAGCCUGUGGGGAGCCAGACCAGCUCGCGAUUGAGGCUGGGACCAUUACUACCAGUACGAGUGGACCCGCGGGGCACAAGCCUUCCCGUGUGUGUGUGUGUGUGUGUGUGUGUGUGUGUGUGUGUGUGUGGUUUCUUUUAUUAAAGCUAUUAAA